UGGUGGAGUGAUUUGUCUGGUUAAUUCCGUUAACGAACGAGACCUUAACCUGCUAAAUAGACACCGGGGUCAGGCCUUAGCCGCGAGGCAACGGGGUCAUGACCUCGGCUGUGCUUCUUAGAGGGACUUUGCGUAUCUAACGCACGGAAGUUUAAGGCAAUAACA
rnacentral:rRNA from 1 species